UGAGGAAUAUUGGUCAAUGGACGCAAGUCUGAACCAGCCACGUCGCGUGAAGGAAGACGGCCCUACGGGUUGUAAACUUCUUUUGUAAGGGAAUAAAGUGUAGUACGCGUACUAUUUUGCAUGUACCUUACGAAUAAGGAUCGGCUAACUCCGUGCCAGCAGCCGCGGUAAUACGGAGGAUCCGAGCGUUAUCCGGAUUUAUUGGGUUUAAAGGGUGCGCAGGCGGGAGAUUAAGUCGGCGGUGAAAUUUUGCAGCUCAACUGUAAAAGUGCCUUCGAAACUGGUUUUCUUGAGUGUAGAUGAAGUAGGCGGAAUUUGUGGUGUAGCGGUGAAAUGCAUAGAUAUCACGAGGAACUCCGAUUGCGCAGGCAGCUUACUAAGCUACAACUGACGCUCAUGCACGAAGGCGUGGGGAUCAAACAG
rnacentral:rRNA from 1 species